rnacentral:rRNA from 1 species
AUCGAACGCUGGCGGCAGGCCUAACACAUGCAAGUCGAGCGAGCGGCGGACGGGUGAGCAAUGUAUGGGGAUCUGCGCGACAGAGGGGGCUAACUACUGGAAACGUUGGCUAAUACCGCAUACUAUCGGUUGAACCGAUAUGGGAUUAGCUAGUAGGUGGGGUAAAGGCUCACCUAGGCGACGAUCCUUAGCCGGUCUGAGAGGAUGAUCAGCCACACUGGGACUGAGACACGGCCCAGACUCCUACGGGAGGCAGCAGUGGGGAAUAUUGCACAAUGGGCGCAAGCCUGAUGCAGCCAUGCCGCGUGUAUGAAGAAGGCCUUCGGGUUGUAAAGUACUUUCAGCGGGGAGGCGUUACCCACCGAAGAAGCACCGGCUAACUCCGUGCCAGCAGCCGCGGUAAUUC